GUAGGUGAACCUGCGGAAGGAUCAUUCACGCCAAUUAUUCUUCUUGCUAGUGGCUUCGGCUGCUAGCAUGAAAAAACUAAAAAACAAUAAAAAAAACAAAUUUUCAACGAUGGAUAUCUUGGUUCCCAUAUCGAGGAAGAACGCAGCUAACUGCGAUAAGCAAUGCGAAUUGCAGAAUCCGCGAGUCAUCAGAUUUUCGAACGCAGUCGGUGCCAGUCUGGCCAAGAAGCCUCUGGCAUGUUUGCUUCAGUCUUUUUGAUUAUUACACAUCAAAAUGUGAUUGAACUUCGGUUCUCUCAUUGAAUUUGAAUACGACGUAUUUUCAUCCAACGGAGCAGUCACAGUCUCUGACAGUGAUUUCGUUGGCUCUGAAGCUACGACCAGUAUAGAAAGGUUGGUCUUUCAAAAUAAUCUAAAGCUGAAGUCAAGCAGGACUACCCGCUGAACUUAAGCAUAUCAGUA
rnacentral:rRNA from 1 species